rnacentral:rRNA from 1 species
CCUACGGGUGGCUGCAGUGGGGAAUCUUGCGCAAUGGGCGAAAGCCUGACGCAGCGACGCCGCGUGAGUGAUGAAGGCCUUCGGGUUGUAAAGCUCUGUGGGGAGAGACGAAUAAGUGCGGGCUAAUACUCCGCAUGAUGACGGUAUCUCCUUAGCAAGCACCGGCUAACUCUGUGCCAGCAGCCGCGGUAAGACAGAGGGUGCAAACGUUGUUCGGAAUUACUGGGCGUAAAGCGAGUGUAGGCGGUUUGAUAAGUCGGAUGUGAAAGCCCCGG